rnacentral:rRNA from 1 species
AGUGAACGCUGGCGGCAGGCCUAAUACAUGCAAGUCGAACGGCAGCACAGCAGAGCUUGCUCUGUGGGUGGCGAGUGGCGGACGGGUGAGGAAUACGUGGGAAUCUGCCCAGUCGUGGGGAUAACGUAGGGAAACUUACGCUAAUACCGCAUGCGCCCUUCGGGGAAAGCCGGGGACCUUCGGGCCUGGCGCGAUUGGAUGAGCCCACGUCGGAUUAGCUAGUUGGCGGGGUAAAGGCCCACCAAGGCGAUGAUCCGUAGCUGGUCUGAGAGGAUGAUCAGCCACACUGGAACUGAGACACGGUCCAGACUCCUACGGGAGGCAGCAGUAGGGAAUAUUGGACAAUGGGCGCAAGCCUGAUCCAGCCAUGCCGCGUGAGUGAAGAAGGCCCUCGGGUUGUAAAGCUCUUUGUCCGGAAAGAAAAGCGCCGGGUUAAUACCCUGGUGUCCUGACGGUACCGGAAGAAUAAGCACCGGCUAACUUACGUGCCAGCAGCCGCGGUAAU